rnacentral:lncRNA from 1 species
CAAAUUAGGCCCAGGGCCCCCUUUCGGCCAAUAUCGCAACUCCGGCACAGUGGCGGUUCGCCUCAAGUUGGCCGUUUUCGGCCAUUUUCGGCCGAAUUCGGCCACACUCGCAUUGGUUCCUGCGAUAAAACAACCCUACGGCCCUCGGGGGGCCGAAAAUUUACGGAAAAUCGAAGCUUACCGGCGGCGAUGCUCUCGGGUGCGGUGGCUCUCCGGUGAAGUUCGUGUUUUGGUGAUUCGGCUCCGAUCAACCUGUAGAGAAAAG